GCCCCUGGCCCUGGGAGUGUUGCAGGCUGGUGGCCCCAGCGUGGGGGAAGGACACCUCACUCCCAAGGGCCCCCCCCCCCCUUCAGUGACUCCUUGAAGCCUUUACUUUUUUUUUCUUGGAAGUGAAGGAAAAAGAAAAGAGAGGAAACUAUUUCCAGCACCGCCCUCCAGGUGAGGGGGGUGCUGGAGCAGCAGGUACAGCAGGGAGGGAGGGGCUGGGGAGCAGGUGUGACGGGUCACUCUGCUGAUGCCUAAGCCGGAGGGGGGUUGGCCAAGCCAAGCCUGGGUCAGCUUCGGUGGCUCAUCUCUGCCGCCCUUGUGCACCCUAACUUGCCCCCUCAUCCUGGGGAGUCUGGGGAAGAGUUGGAGUGCCAGCCACCCCCCACCCCCGGAAGGAGUCGUGGACCCAGUCUGAGGGCUGUGGACACUGAGGCACAGAGCUUGAGUCUGGAUGCCUGUGAGCGUGUUGUGGAGGGAGUGGCGGAGUGUGAAGGCUGCAGACCCAGCUUUGCACCGUGUGCAGUGGGGUAGGCAGGGGCUGGACCCCAGGCAUUUGCUCUCCCGCCCACCACCCUGGCAGCAGGCACAGGGACCCUGAGCUGUACCAGGCUGCAUUGAGGUCCCUGAGUCCAGGAGAGGACAUCCCCAGAAGCCGCUGGGCCUCAGGGGGCUGGGGGCUAGGCCCUGGGUGGGCAGACGGGCUGGCUCCCGCAGUGCCAGAUCCCAAGGGCUGCAGUCGAAGUCCCUGCAAAUGGGUGAACACCAGGGGCAGGGCCCUGAGAAGGAGGCAUAGACAAAAUGUUUUAAGGUUUCAAGGUGCUAUCAGUGGGGCAGGGGGCAGGGCUGCUGUUCACAGAGCACCCCGUCCCUCACCAGCUGCCCUGGUCGUCUCUCCCACACCAGAGAUGUGUGUGUGUCUGUCCCCAUCCCUGCUCUGAAGGCAGAGGCCUCAUCUUCCUAGGUCUGGCCACAACCCGGCAUCCCUGUCCCUCCUGGGCCUCUGCGGUGUGGGCAGGGCACCUGUAGCACUGUGGGCGAGAGGAGCCUGCACAUUCAGGCCCCAGGGUGGGGGCAGGAGUUCUGGGGGAGCCCCAGCCUGUGCCCAAUGCUUGCCCCCACGAGGCUGGCACUAAUAGGACACCCUUUUUUGUUGUCAUUUAACGUCUUUAUUCCUGCCUUUAAAAUGGGGAGGAAGGUUCCAUAAGCUACAUGUUUCCUAGUUAAGCUCUUUCCCUUUGUGUUUAUACGGUUUUGUUUGUUAUACUCUGCACCUUAAACCCCCGCGACUACCCCCACACCACCACCUUCCCAAGCAUGGCUGGAGUGGGUAAGCCCAAAGGGGGACAGGGGCAGGGGGCAGGGGGGGAGUGGGCCCCAUCAGCCCAAGGGCUGAGGGGGUUGGAACCCCUCUGACCUCCUUGUGAGGCCCAUGGCGCUGGGGUGGGGGCUGGGGACAUUUUAAUCAUCAAUAAACGAAGCACUUUAUUCUGUACAGAUGUGGGCAGCUCCAAGAAGCCCAAGUGAUUUGAGGAUUCGUAAUCCAAGCUACACAGCCCUGAUUGUUCUCUGGGCACAGAGCGGGCAGUGCCCUGGCCUAGUUGCAUUUGGGGCCAUGGCAGUAGUGCAAGCCAGAGCCUACAGACAUGCCCUCAGACACCUCUGCUGUCCUCUGGAGAGAGAAGGUGGGCCCCUCACUGAGGGAGGAAGGCUCCCUGUCAGGCUCCCAAUCGUGUAGCUCCCUUACCCCAAGGCUGAGGGUUCCAGGCUCCUGCUUUAUUAUAGCUCCCUCUCCUCUACCCCUUGAUCUCUGGGCUUCCAUGACGUCCUCAGGGUCUCCCCCCCUUCUGUUUCCUCCUCUUCCUUGCUAUUUCUAACCUCUGGACCCAGUGCCUGGCAGCUCUUCAGAGCUGGCUCAUGUUUUCCCCAAAAAAGUUGAUCUCCCCCAAUGUGCUGUAGGUCGGGACCCCUUUGGGUUCCCCCAACCCCCCGUCGCUGACACCAGGGUCUCCCAUGGGGACUGGUGGUCUUGUCACCAGCUAGCCCCACUACAGCUUUAGUGAGUGAGCCGGGUGGGGAGAGGGCGGGGGGGAUGCGGGGGCUGGCCAGAUCAGGUCCCCGUGAGGCCACACUUUGAUAAGCAGAGGCUGGAGAUGGCUGUUGUGGGGGGAGCUGGUGUUGAAACCCUGUCCCAGGAUUUGGGUUUCCUGUUCUCAUACACCUCUCCUCUGAGGGUGGGGAUCCAGACAGCAGGCAGCCUGGGCUCUGGUCAAAAUGGUCCUUGUAGCUGUGGGUGGGCAUGGCCAAGCCCUCUCUUGGGAGGCCCCUGUCCCAGUGGGGUCAGGAGUCCUGGUCCCUGGUGCUAAAUGCUCUCUUCCCCUCAGGCCAGUGUGGGUGGGAGCUCCUUUCCAGCCAGAUCACAAGGGUCUGAAGCAAUAAUGGAACCUCAGCAGUGCCAGUAUGGGUAGGGGUUCUUGUUUUACCAGCUUUUCCUUUUCCUUUUUAUUUUUAAGACAUUAACAAGCACCUGGAUAUUGGAGUAAGGGGACUGGGGCGUCAUACCCACUUCCCAGGGCCUGUGGGGAAGGGGGCAGGGGAUCAUCACAUCCCACUAGAGAUGUACAGGGCGGAGGGGGUGGGGGGGUGCCCCUCAGUCCAGAUGGACUUCUCAGCCCAUUUGUCCAGAACUUGGGUCUGGAACCUGGGCCUGCCCCCUCCCCAGCUCCCCCUGGGCUCCCUGGUCUUGGGCCAGCUGGAGGUGAGCAGAGAGAUGAGGUGGGCCUCAAGCCCCCUGACCACAGGCUGGAGUUAGAGCCUCAGCCUCUGAACUUGGCAGGUGCUGCCACUGCACUCCUCAUUGGGGGCCCAGAGGUAGCUGUGUCAGGUGUGUGUGUGGACCCUUGGUGUCUGGGGCCCAAGUGCGUGGGGGAUAGCAGGAGGGUGAGGACAAGAGUGAAGGGGAAUAAAGUCAGUACAACUGUCCCUUGGCCCAGCCUCUUCUUUACAUGUUCCCCGCCCUGACUACUGGCUGGAAAGACCUAGACCAGAGCAAGGGCAGCACGGAGCCUGGCCACUCAGCCGCAGACCGCAUGGAUAGCUGUACCCUGGAGCAGCUGCAGACCCUGUGUCUCUCCCUUAAGGGCGGGCUGGGCUUUACGAACACCCAGAGUCAGGAGCUGAGGCAAGAGCAGAGAUGUGCCCCCAAACUGGUGUUUGGUCUUGAGCUGGAUGCAGAAGGGGAUGGAGAGAGGAGAGGUCUCGGGGUAACUGAUGCCGAGGCUCCCAAAGGAGUGCCCACAGGAGGCCAGGCCCCCUCCCGUAUGGUUCUGCGUGAGCCCCAGGACAGCAGGGACAACUCCGGCUCAUGUGCGCAACACUUGGCAGGCAAGGGUGGUUUGAAGGAGCCAGCUGUCAGAGAUGCUGACGUGGGCACCAGGAAGACGGCUAGUGGCCUCCAAGGAGGGAACAGAUGGCUUUCUCUGGGGACCUCUAAGAAUUAUUAAUAUCAUUGCACAGGUAAUAUACAGACCUCUAAGAAUUAUUAAUAUCAUUGCACAGGUAAUAUACAGAGCCCUGGCUCUGCGCCAGGUGGAACUCUAGGUCCUGGGGGGACACGGCGAACAAGGCCCCUGUGUUUGUGGCAACUGGCUCAGGAUACGGGAGGAGGGGUCUGACCCUGAGCAGCUGGGUGAAUUCAUGAACCAGAGAGGAGGUGCAGGUUCUGACAGGCAGAGGCUGGAGAUGGGCGUGGGGGAGCUGGUGGUGAAACCUGUCCCAGGACGUGGGUUUCCUGUUCUUACGCACCUCCCUUCGAGGGCAGGUCCAAAGAGCAGGUCCCAGAAUUUGGGGGCCGGUACCUUUCCGCACAGCCCUCCUUCUUUGAGCAAAAGGAACAGGCUCACUUAGGUCGCCCUGAAAAUGAGGCUUGCUGAUGAGGUCGAGCUGAAAAUGAGGGCCUGGCUGCUCCCCUGCUCUCUUGGUAUUCUGCCUCUCUGGUUCUGCUCUCCACCCCCUCUUGUUCCCCAUCUGUGUGCCUGAUGCCUCUCUGCACAUCUCUUCCUUCAGCCCCACCGCCACCCCCCUCAUUCUCAUACCAUUUCCAACUUCACAUUCUGUCCAGAGCUGCUCAGGCAUGAGUCACGCUGGGCUCGGAGGAGGACGUUGGGUGGCGGAGGGCACCAUGGCUGGCAUCUCUGGAGCACUCAUUCUUCCCCAGUUUUGCUCUUUGGGACCAAACUGCUCAUUAACACAUCGCGUCCUAGAGUGCAGGAGUAUUUAUACCCUAGUUGCAAGGGAGGCUGGGAAGGUGAGCAUGUCUGGUACUUCAGGCAGGUAGGACUCACAAUCAGAAAACGGCUGUCCAAACACGCUGGGUGGCCACAAAGGGUCCCUCUCCCACCCCGAUUCCUGGUCCUGGGACCCAGCCAUCCUGAGAGAAACCACGGCCCACGCAUACACACUGGGCACAGGUCUGGAGUGGACACUGAAUCCUACAGGAAAGCCCCAGCCUGGCAAGGCAAAUCUCUGUGCUGGCUCCAUAAUUGAUUCUUCCCUAGACAAUGUCACCACUCCACAGCAUCAGCUGCUCCUGGGCACUGGGUGAGACCAGUGUGUGCUGUGAGCACCAGCCCAACACCACACAGCAUUGUUUUCUGUAGAAUCCCUUUUUUACAGAAUUAAAAUUAAAAUUUUUCAAUUAAAAUUUUACAAUUAAAAAUUUUCUGGACGUUUAAAAAACCAAAUAUUUCUGGAAGGCCCUUUAAAAAAAAAAAAACAAAAACAAAAAAGCAAGGCUUGCAGUUGCCUGUAUCUCUUCCUUUCCAACUCCCAAUGGGCAACCAUUUCCAAUUCAAUUGGUAUUUUUGGUGUUUACCCUCAUGCCUAUGAAAAUCACGCCUCCGCAGCGUUAGGCAUCAUUUAUUGAUUUCUUUAACACUCCCAACACACGCACACACACACACACACACACACACACACACACACACACACUACACACGGCUUCUCUUCCCCUUUCUCCACGUAUAGUUGUAUUAUUAUUUCGGGUGAGAUUAACAUUCAGUGUAUAUAUUAUUAUGACUAUUACGACCUCAACAAAGUCACAUCAUAGAAUAUGAUUCCAUUUCCUUUCUUGUACAACUUCUUACUUUUGUCACUUUUUAACAUGUUAUUUCAGUUUCUAGGCAUUUAUCACUUCUGUGUACCCAAAGUCUGCCGUAAAUGCAACUCUCCUGAUAUGUGCACACCCAUCAAUUUCCUCUUGGCACUGUGUUUCCAGAACCCUCGCUCGCUCGAAUCUGGGCUGGUUGAUUUCCCCCAGCUGUCAUGGUGGGAUCUCCCACCCUUCUGAGGAUUCCCUCUGCUACUUCCUACACAGAUCUCCCAUUUUCCUGAAUCCUCUGUCUUCCUUUAUCUGGAUUUGCUUCCUUGAUUUGGUGAAGCACAUCCACAGGGGGCUUCCUGCAGACAGGCUCCUGGGCACGUGGAGACCUGUGGCCAGGCCCAAAGUGAUCGGUCCUCCCCAGACCUAGUAACACAGGAGGCAGUGGAGCUAGUGACCGUCUUCACGAAGCUCCAUCCUCGUUAUAACAAGUGGCCAGUGUGGCAGACAACCUGGUGUGCACAAAAGUGAAGCCAUCUCCCAUAAGGACACUUACUGCUUAACAACACCCCCAGGCCUCUGUUCCCUGUCACACUUUGCUGAGACCGUGUCCCUUGAAGUUUCCUACAGAAAACUAACUUCUAGAAGGUUUAUGACUUGGUGGACCACUUUUUUCCUAACCCUAAAAUGUAGCUUCUCUUCAGAACCACUUCAGGGAAUGAAAUUCUGAAGGUCUUGACUAUUUUUAUUCUAGUCUUAUGUAGGGAUGAGUUUGCCUGGGUAACAACUCUGGGUGGGAAUUCAUUUGCCGUCAGAAUUUUAGAUGCCAGUGUUUCCCCAUCCCGUUUUGACUCCCAAUGCUACAUGUGUGCUGUGCUUCCUCCCUCUCUGAAGCCUUCAGGCCCUUUGCUUCACCUCCAGCCUUGUGAACCUUCAAGCCGAUGAUGUACUUGGUGUGAAUUUUUCUCACCCACUAAGCUGGGUACUCGGUGAGCUCUGUCAGUCUGGGAAACUUUCCUGAAUUAUGGCUUUAAACCAUUUUCUCUCCAAGUUUUUCUCUGUUCUUAAGCUCCUGUUAUUUAGAUAUUGGACUUCUGGGCUGCUUGUCUCAUUCUCUUACCUCAUCUUUUUUGUUCCUCAAAUUUGAGAUUUCCUCAAAUUUCUUUUCCAACUCUUCUAUCAAGUAUUAUAUUUUUGCCAUUAUACUUCUUAAUUUCCAAAAGUUCUUCUUAAUUUCUCUGGAAUUUUUUUUGUGGUGUUUGCCGCUUUAUUAUGUAAGCAUUUUUUGGACAUUAUUACUAGCAAUGUUUGAAUUUUUUCUGCGUCCUGAUGUUUUUUCUCUGUUUCCUCCAAUUUCCCUUCCUUUCAUUUGUUUCUCAUGAGACUUUCCUUAGAUAUUGGGUAAUCUUUGAUCUUUUUCUUAGUGGAAAUUUUUAUCAGGAUAAUUACAGAUUCAUACACAGCUUUAAGAAAUAAUAGAGAAAACACUUGUACAUUUUACCUAGUUUCCCCCAAUGAUACCAGUUUGCAAAACUAGUACAAUAUCACAACCAGGGCAUUGAAAAUGACACCCCACUGCUCUUAUCCAGAUUUCUCCAACCUUACUUGUCCUCAUUUGUGUGCAUAUUUGGUUCUAUAGAAUUUUAUCACAUGUGUAUGUUCACGUAUCCACCAUCACAAUGGAGACAGAACAUUCCACCACCAUAGGGUUCCCUCUCUUGUGCUUUUAUAAAUAAACAGAACCCCCACCACCACCACCCACUCUGUCCCUAAUGACUGGCAGCCACCAAUCUGUUCUCCAUUUAAAAAUUUUUGUCAUUUCAAAAUGUUAUCUUAAUGUAUAUGGUAUGUAAUCAUUUGGGAUUGACUUUUUUCACUCAGCCUAAUCUUCCGAAAAUUGACCCAAGUUACUGUGUAUAUCAGUACUUCACUCUUUUGUGUUGCUGAUUAGUAUUCCAUGGUUUGUAUGUACUACAUUUAAAAAAAAUUGUUUUUAAUGUUUAUUUAUUUUUGAAAGAGAGAGAGAGAGAGAGAGAGAGAGAGAGCACGAGUGGGGUAGGGGAAGAAAGAGAGGGAGACACAAAAUCCUAAGCAGGCUCCAGGCUCUGAGCUGUCAACUCAGAGCCCUACACGGGGCUCGAACCCACGAACAGCAAGAUCAUGACCCAAACUAAGGUUGGACACUUAACGGACUGAGCCACCCAGAUGCCCCUGUAUGUACUACAUUUAUUCAUUGAGGGAGAACAGUGCUGUUUCUCAUUUUUUUGCUAUUACUAAUACAGCUGGCAUGAAUAUUCCCGUAUCACUUCUGUAGGAACAUAAGUUUUACUUUCUUGGGGAUAAAUGCCCAAGAGGACAAUUGCUGGGUUAUAUAAUAGUUGCAGGCUUAAUUUUACAAGAAACUGCCAAGUGUUACCUAUGAGGCUAUGCCACUUUACGUUCCCACCAGCGAUGUAUGAGGGAUAUGGUUUCUCCUCCUCUUCAGCAUUUUAGUGGUGUCAUUAUUUUUUAUUUUAGCUACUCUGAUAGCUGCGCAGUGAUGUAGCUUUAACUUAGAUUUCCCUGAUGAGUAAUUAUAUUGGACAUCUUUUCAGGAGAUGAUUUGCCAUCUGACAUCACCUUUGAUGACAUAUCGGUUUAGGUCUUUUGCCUGUUUUCCAGUUGGAUUGUUGGGGUUUUUUUUGUUUUUUGUUUUUUGUUUUUACUGUCGAGUUUUGAGAUUUCCUUGUGUGUCUAGAUGUUGCAAAUAUUUUCUCCCAGUCUGUAGCAUAUCUUUCCAUCCUCUUCACAUGGGCUUUUGCAAAUCAAAAGUUCUGUACUUUGAUGAGGAUUAAUUUGUCAAACUUUCCUUUUAAGGAUCGUGCUUUUGAUGUUGAGUCUAAUAACUCUUUCCCUAGCCAAAUGCCAAAACUACUGUCCUGUUAUUUUUUUUCCCUAGAAGUUUUAUAGUUUUGUUUCACAUUUUUAAAAAAGAUGCUCACUUACUUUGUUCUUUAAGAGCCAAGUCCAGGGGCGCCUGAGUGGCUCAGUUGGUUGGGUGUCCAACUUCAGCUCAGGUCAUGAUCUCCCAGUUCGUGGGUUCAAGCCCCGUGUCGGGCUCUGUGCUGACAGCUCAGAGCCUGGGGCCUGCUUUCGAUCCUGUGUCUCCCUCUCUCUCUGGCCCUCCCCCACUCACACUCUGUCUCUCAAAAAUAAAUAAAAAUGUAAAAAAAAAAAUUAAAAAAGAGCCAAGUCCAGUCUUGGACUGACAAAGCUCUCUCUUUUUUUUUUUUUUUUAAGUUGUGGUAAAAUAUACAUAACAUAAAAGUUAGCAUCUUAACCAAUUGUAAGUGUACAGUUAGUGACAUUAAGUACAUUCACAUUGUUGUAGGAUACCGCCACCAUCCAUCGAUAGAAUUCUUUUCAAUCUCAUAAAACUGAAACUCUGUGACCCACUAGGCACCAACUCCCUAUGCCCUCCUGCCUACCCCCAAGCCCUGGAAAGCACCUUUCUCCUUUCUGCCUCUAUGAAUUUGGUUAUUCUAGGUACCUCAUUUCAGUGGAAUCAUACAGUAUUUGUCUCUUUGUGAUUGGCUUUUUUCACCCAGUAUACUGUCGUCAAGGUCCAUCCACGUUACAGCGCGUGUCAGAAUUUCCUUCCGUUUUAAGCCUGAAUAAUGUCCCAUUGUACGUAUAUACCACAUUUUAUGUAUCCAUUCAUCUGUAGAUUGACACUGGGGUUGUUUUCAUCUUCUGGCUAUUGUGAAUGAUGCUGCAGUGAACACUGGUGUACUUGUUUUUAAUAUCUUUGGGUAUAUAACCAGAAGUGGAUUACUAGAUCAUAUGGUAAUUGUAUUUUUAAGUUUUCGAUGAACCGCCAUACUGUCUUUCACAGUGUCUGUACCAUUUUACAUUCCCACCAGUGGUACACAGAGUUCCAGUUUCUGCACAUCCUUGCCAACACCUGUUUGCUUUUUUGUUUGUUUUUGCAUAGCGGCCAUUCUAAUGGGUGUGAGGCGGGAUCUUGUGGUUUGGGUUUACAUUUCCCUAGUGAUGAGUGAUGCUGAACAUCUUUUCAUGUGUUUAUUGGCCACUUAUACACCUUUUUGCAAAAAUGGCAAGUGCUUUGGCCAUUUUUUAAUCAGCUUGUUUUGUUAUUGUUGAACCUUAGGAGUUCUUUAUAUUUUUCAGAUAGUAACCCUUUAUAUGAUUUGCAAAUAUCUUCUACUAUCCGAGGGGCUGCCUUUUCUGUCAGUUGUGUCCUUUGAUAUACAGAAGUUUUAAAUUUUGAUGUAGUCCAAGCUGUUUUUUCUUUUGUUGCCUGUGCUUUUGGUGUCACAUCCAAGUAAUUGUCAGUUCCGGUAUCAUGAAGCUUUCACCCCAUCUUUUCUUCUGAAAGCUUUCUGGUUUUCACUCUUAUAUUUUGAGUUUAUUUUUUAUAUGGUGUGAGAUAAAUGUCUAGCUUCAUUCUUUUGGAUAUGGGUAUCCAGUUCUCUGAACACUGUUUGUUGAGAAGACUGUCCUUUCCUCAUUGAAUGGUUUUGGUACUCUUGUCACAAGUCAUUUGACAUAUAUGUGAGAGUUUAUUUCUGGGCUUUCUAUGCUGUUCCAGUCGUCUAUAUGUCUGUCUUUAUGCCAGGACCACACAGUUUUGAUUACUGUAGGUUUGUAGUAAGUUUUGGAAUAAAACUGUGUGAGACCUCCAACUUUGUUCUCUUUAUCAAGAUUAUCUUAGAUGUUUUACAUUUAAGUUCACUUUGAGUUAAUUUUUGUAUAAGGUAUGAGAUGUAGGUUGAAGUUCUUUUUUUUUUUUCUUGGCCUAUGGAUGUCUGAUUGUUCCAGAACCAUUUGUUGAAACGUCUCUGUCCUCCAUUGACUUGUUUUUGACCCUUGUCAAAAAUCAGUUGAGCACAUUUGGAUCUAUUUCUGGAUCCUUUAUUGUGUUCCAUUGAUCUGUGUGUCUGACUCUUUGCCACACAAUCCUGAUUACUAGAGCUAAACAGGAAGGCUUAACGUCAGGUGGAAUGAUUCCUCCCCCUUUAUUCUUCCUUGUCCAGAUGGUUUUAACUUUUCUAGGGCCUGUGCCUUACCAUAUACAUUUUAUAAUAAGCUUAUCUAUGCCCAUUAAAAAUGUUUCUAGGAUUUUGAUAGGCAUUGAAUUAAAUCUAUAGUUCAAUUUGGGGAGAACUGACAUCUUUACUGUGCUGAGCCUUCCAGUUUAUGAACAUAGUAUGUUUUUCCAUUUAUGUAGGUCUUCUAGGAUUUCUUUCAUCAGCAUUUUGUAAUUUUCAGCAUAGAUCCUGUACAUGUUUUGUUAAGAAUAUUCAAUUUAUGGGGCACCUGGGUGGCUCAAUCAGUUAAGCAUCUGACUCUUGAUCUCUGUUCAGGUCAUGAUCUCACAGUUCGUGGGUUCGAGCCCCACACUGGGCCCUGCACUGAUGGUGCAGAGGCUGCUUGGGAUUCUGUCUCUCUUUCUCUCUUGGUGCCCCUCCCCACUUGUUUUCUCUCUCUCUCUCUUUCUGAAAAUGAAUUAACUUAAAAAAAAUAAUAUUCAAUUUCUUUGGACUGAUUAUAAAUAGUAUUAAGUUUUAUUUCUACAUGUUCAUUGUCAGUAGACAGAAGUGCAAUUAAUUUGGGUGUGUUGAUUUUAUACCCUCCAGCAUUGCUGAGCUCAUUUAUUAGCUCCUGAAGAUUUUUUUUUUUUUUUUGUAGAUUCCCUGGAGUUAUUUACCUUUCGUUCCUGAUAGUUUCAUUGGAUAUAGAAUUUACCUCUGACCAUCCUUUCAGCUCUUGAAAAAUGUGACACUUUCUUUUGGCCCUAUGGUAUCUGAUGAGAAACCCACCCUCCUUUGAAUUAGUGUCCCCUAUAGGUAAUGUGUUUUUUCUUUCUGGCUGCUUUCAAGAUUUUUUUUCUUUGUCUUUAGUUUUAAGAAGUUUAAUUAUGAUGUGUCUUGGCAUGGGUUUCUUUGGGUUUAUCCCUGUUUGAGGUUUGCUCGGUUUUUUGAAUUUGCAGGUUUGUGUCUUUCACCAAGUUUUGGAAGUUUUUAGCCAUUCUUACUUCAGUUACUAUUUCAGUAACCCUCUCUCUUUCGCCACUCUUUCUGGGACUAUCAUGAUACAAAUGUUGGAUCUUUUGUUAUUGUCUCAUGGGCCCAAGAUGACAUUAUUAUUAUUUUUUUCGCUCUGCUCUCUUUUUGUUCUUCCGAUUAGGUAAAUCCUACUCAUCUACCCUCAAGCACACUGAUUUUAUCCUCUGUCAUCUCCCUUCUAUUGAGGCCAUCCAGCGGGUUUUUAUUUCUGUUUUAUAUCUAUUUUAUUUCCGUAUUUUUCAGGUCUAUGAUUUCCAUUUGGCUCUUCUAUAUAACUUGUAUUUCUUUACUGAGAUUUUCUCUUUUUCAAAUGUAUUUUCAAGAGAAUUGUAUUGAUUGUUGAAGCAUUUUAAUGAAAUAUUUCAUGAAGCUUUAAAAUCCUUGCCAGAUAAUUUUUUUUUUAUUAAAAAAAAUUUUUUUUUCAACGUUUAUUUAUUUUUGGGACAGAGAGAGACAGAGCAUGAACGGGCGAGGGGCAGAGAGAGAGGGAGACACAGAAUCGGAAACAGGCUCCAGGCUCCGAGCCAUCAGCCCAGAGCCUGACGCGGGGCUCGAACUCACGGAACGCGAGAUCGUGACCUGGCUGAAGUCGGACGCUUAACCGACUGCGCCACCCAGGCGCCCCCUUGCCAGAUAAUUUUAACGUCUGAUUAAUCUCAGUGUUGACAUCAGUUGAUUCUUUCCACAUUCAAGUAGUGAUUUUCCUGGUUAUUAUUAUGACAGGUGAUUUUUUUUUAUUGUAUCCUGGACAUUUUGGCUUUGUGUCAGAAGACUUUGGGUUCUAUUUGGUUCUUUUUUUAUAAGGGGCAGUUGCCCUGUUUAGGUUUGGCAUGCGGGUGCUGGCCUACUUCUGUGGGCUGCGGUUCCAAUGACAAUUUAAUUUUCAGAGACUUUACCAUGUUAUUUUCACCAGCUUGGGUUAUCUGGUGCUGCUGGGGUUCCCACCUGUUCCUGCUGCUGCUGCCAGAGAGAGCAGAACGAGUUUCCCCAGGCCAGGUCGCCCGGCGUCCCUUGGCAGGGAAUGUGGGUCUCAGGCCAGGUGUGGAAGGAGAGUGUUCCACUGCCCUCCACCGGCUGCUUGUUGUUGGUGGGCUUCUGAUGAACUCCCCUUGCUGGCGGGGCUGCAUUCGUCUGGUGUCAGUGGGACUCCUGUGCAAUUUGCUAGAGGAGUAAGCCUACCCGGGUCAUCCUCUGUUGGGUGGGAGUAUAUCAUCCUUCCCUCACUUUUCAGAGUUACUCUCUAAUCGCCUCUUGCAUAUUUCCAUGGUUUAUCAUUGUACUUAACAGGAAAGAGCAGGGAGAAAGGAGUCCCACAUUGUCUAAGCCAGAAGUCAUCUUUUCAAUAAUUACAAAAUUAGUGUAAUAAUGGCACUGUGGGUUUUUGUAAGCUUUUUUUUUUUUAACGUUUAUUUAUUUAUGUUGAGAGAGAGAGAGGGGAGAGAGAAAAAGCACGCAGCAGAGAGCGUGCUGGGGAGGGGCAGAGAGAGGUUGAGAGAGAAGAUCCCGAGCAGGCUCCAUGCUGUCAGCAAAGAGCCCAAUACAGGUCCUGAACCCACGAACCGUGAGAUCAUAACCUGAGCCAAAAUUAAGAGUUGGAUGCCCAACCAAGUGAGCCACCCAGGCGCCUCUCAAUAAUUUUUAAAAAGUGGAGCACCAAAAAACCCAAUGGCAGUCAGCAUGUGUGAAAGGACUUGUGAACUGGAGGGCCUCACUGUCCACUGUCUCCUUGAGGUCCCUCGGUUACUGGUAUCUUUUUUUUUUUUCCUUCUGGUCAGUGAGGCUGAGAAAAUAAGUUCUGGCUUCUACCUUGGGGAAGGACUAUAGAUGUGUGACUAUCCCACGCAUAGAAAGACCAUUUAGGAGAUGUGAGGAGACUACUGAGCGUGACAAGUAUCUUGUCAUACAGCACGACUAUUCCAGCAAAUACUCGGCGGCCGAGGUACAGUCCCAAGUCUACAUCUGGGUGAGGCCUGCUCAUACGAUGAGGCUUGCAGGCAUUGUUUGGUUUCUUGGCACAUUUGCAAGGGGUUUGUUCUCUGACCUUGGUGAAAUGAGUGUACAUUUUCUCAAGAAUUUUCACUUGGCCAAAAAAAAAAAAAGAAUUUUUCACUUGGCAUUUUUCUUAAAUAACCCUUGUGAUGUGCUAAGAUUCCUAAUGAAGGCAGGACAUGAGUAGACAAAUUGGAUGAAGUUCAAAAUAGUUGUCUGAGUAAAAGAAGUCAGAAGAGAGAGAGAGAGGACAUACUACAUAAUUCUGCUUCUAUAAAACUUUAGAAACUGCAAAGGAAUGAUAGUGACAGCAGAUCUGUGACUGUCAGGCUGGGGGUGUUGUGGGGAGAGAUGAGGGAGGGAUUAAAGAAGGGCACAAGGACACGUAGAUCUGUUCUCUAACUUGAUUGGGCUGCUGGUUUUGUGGGUGUAUAUAUAUGCACAUCAAAACUUACCAAUUGUUGGCUCAGUCCUUUGUGCAUCUGACUUUGGCUCAGGUCAUGAUCUCAUGGUUCGUGGGCUCGAGCCCCACUUCAAGCUCAUUGCUGUCAGCGCUGAGCCUGUUUUAGAUUCUCUGUUCCCCUCUCUCUCAGCCCCUCCCCCACUCAGGCUCCCUCUCCCUCUCUCUCAAAAAUAAAUAAACUUAAAAAAAACUUCUCAAAUUGUACACUUUAAAUAUGUGCAGUUCAUUGUACGUCACUUAUGCCUCAACAAAGCCAUUAAAAAAAAAAAAAAAACAUGAGGGGGGGGGGGCCCUGGGUGGCUCAGUCGGUUCAGCAUCCAACUUUGGCUCAGGUCAUAUCUCAUGGUUUGUGAGUUCAAGUCCCACAUCGGGCUCUCUGCUGUCAGCACAGAGCCCGCUUGACGAUUCUCUGUCCUCUCUCUCUGCCCCCCCCCCACUUGCAUUCUCUCUCUCUCUCAAAAAUAAAUAAGCAUAAAAAAUAAAAAAAAAACAUGAUAAGACUGAUCCCUGUUUGCUGGCCAUUUAAAUUUCAGCUUCUAUAAGGGGGGGGGGGCGGGUAAUUCCUACCUCAUAAUUUGGGGUAAGACUAAAUGAGUAAAAAUUCGAAGGAUGAAGUGAGAUGACAUCCUCCCUGAUUCAGCUGAAAGCCAUGUGCUUUGUCCCACUCUGUCCUGUACUCGCGUCCAAUCCCCGGACUUCUCCCUGAGUGACUUGCAGACUGGCUGGGGCAGAUGAAAUGGGAUUGGCCGCAAGUUGGUGACUCAAUAGUUGCUGAAGUGGGGAGAUGGGGACAUGGGAGACUGGCAUGGGAGACUCUUUACUUGUGGGUAAGUUUGCAUUUCCCACAAUUAUCAUUAAGAAAUAGGGGCGCCUGGGUGCCUCAGUCAGUUAAGCACCCAACUUUGGCUCAGGUCGUGAUCUCGCGGUUAGUUUGAGCCCCGCAUUGGCUCUUCAUGGACAGUGUGGAGCUUGCUUAGGAUUCUCUCUCUCUCCCUCUCUCUGUGUGUCUCUCUCUCAAAAAUAAAUAAACUUUUUAAAAAAAGUCCUCUUUAAAAAAACAAAACAAAACAAAACAGUGGCUCCCCAUUUCACCAAAGAGAAAAACCAAAGUCUGAACACUGGCCCACAUGGCCCUACUUGAUGCCCCCACCUUACUCCUCUGCCCUUAUCUCCUCCUACUCAACUGCUCAUUCAUUGCUUCAGCCUCACUGGCUUCCUCCCUGUUCCUGGAACAUGGCAGGUGUGCUCCUGCCUCAGGGCCUUUGCUCAAGCUAUUACCCCUGCCUGGAAUCCUCCUAUCCCAUGGCUUGAACGUGCUCAAAUGGAGUCCUCUCAGUGAGUCGACCCUGACUUAUCUACUAAAAUUAUUACCACUGCCACCUGUCCCUUCCCAUGACCUCUUCUCUGCUACUUGUCACUUAGCAGUUAUCAUCUGACAUUCCGUAUAACUGCUUGUUACUGUCUCCCCCCAACCGCCCACUUUGGCUGCACAUAAGCUCCAUAAAGACAGGAAUUCCUGCCUGAUGUGUUCACUGUUGAAUCCUCAACACUGAGAAGAGUGCACAGUGGGUUCUCGAUGAAUGAAUGAGCCACAUAUAAAUAUGCUAGCGGAAUGCCUGGUAGGCAGUGAGCACUAUGGGAUUCAUCACAAUCUAAAAAUACGUCAUUGAGUCAUAUGAUAAACAUAAGUUAAUUGUUUGGUAUGUACUUUCUGUCCUGGUCUUUGAAAAAUGAAGCUACCAUUAAUUUGUUGUUGUUGUUGUUGUUGUUGUUGUUGUUAAUUGGCGGGAGGCAGUUUGGUGGGGAGGGACUCCCACAGCCUUUGGAGGUGGGCAGAUCUGCCUUGAGCCCUGGCCUGGCCACUUGCCAGCUGAGCAACUUGGCCAAGUUGCUCAGCCUUGCAGAGCCUGGUCUCUUCACUGAUGGUGCUUGUUGGAAAUGCCCUGCAGCCCAGGACCGCGCUGGGAGCCCCGGGGUGAGACUUUGCCCUUUCUGCAAGAUGGACAGGACCACCUCCAGGACGUGCCCGGCUGC
rnacentral:lncRNA from 1 species